AACAUAUAUAUAUAUAAGCAUCGAAGUUUCCUCUCAUUUUAAAAAUUAAAAUUAUAUGGAGGAGAAGCUAUUAUUCUAUUCAUAGAGCCAAUAUCCAAGAAUUAUGGACCAAUUAUUAUAUGCAAGCAUUUUCGCUUCCACUCCUCUUUGUCAGUUCAACUGAAAUCUGUUCUUGUUUCCAGGAAUCAAGCCUCCUCAGGCUAAAGAUGAUGGAUGGUGUCCAAACUCCAGAAUGAGGAGACAUUUGAAGACCAAUUAGAUUCUUCAAGGAUCUUUAAAUUAUUGUAGCUGUCGUUCAUAAGACUUGUUCUGUUGCAUCAUAUUUUUCUUGACACUGUGUACCUGAAUAAUUUUGUUAGCUGAGUAAUGUCAGCUCACAGAAGCUGAUAACAUUUCAUCUACCCUGCUGGAAUUUAUUUGGG